UACGUAGGUGGCGAGCGUUAUCCGGAAUUACUGGGCGUAAAGGGCGCGCAGGCGGCCGUUUAAGACUGACGUGAAAGCUCCUGGCUUAACUGGGAGAGGUCGUUGGAGACUGAAUGGCUUGAGGCAAUGAGAGGGGUGCGGAAUUCCCGGUGUAGUGGUGGAAUGCGUAGAUAUCGGGAGGAACACCAGUGGCGAAAGCGGCAUCCUGGCAUUGACCUGACGCUCAUGUGCGAAAGCGUGGGGAGCCAACGGG
rnacentral:rRNA from 1 species